AGCAAGGUCAGCUAAUUAAGCUUUUGGGCUCAUGCCCCAACAAUGUUGGUUUAAACCCUCCCCUUACUA
rnacentral:tRNA from 1 species